CAGCUUGCUGCUUCGCUGACGAGUGGCGGACGGGUGAGUAAUGUCUGGGAAACUGCCUGAUGGAGGGGGAUAACUACUGGAAACGGUAGCUAAUACCGCAUAACGUCGCAAGACCAAAGAGGGGGACCUUCGGGCCUCUUGCCAUCGGAUGUGCCCAGAUGGGAUUAGCUAGUAGGUGGGGUAACGGCUCACCUAGGCGACGAUCCCUAGCUGGUCUGAGAGGAUGACCAGCCACACUGGAACUGAGACACGGUCCAGACUCCUACGGGAGGCAGCAGUGGGGAAUAUUGCACAAUGGGCGCAAGCCUGAUGCAGCCAUGCCGCGUGUAUGAAGAAGGCCUUCGGGUUGUAAAGUACUUUCAGCGGGGAGGAAGGGAGUAAAGUUAAUACCUUUGCUCAUUGACGUUACCCGCAGAAGAAGCACCGGCUAACUCCGUGCCAGCAGCCGCGGUAAUACGGAGGGUGCAAGCGUUAAUCGGAAUUACUGGGCGUAAAGCG
rnacentral:rRNA from 1 species